AAUAGAUACCCGGGUAGUCCACGCCGUAAACGAUGAGUGCUAGGUGUUGCGGGUAUCGACCCCUGCAGUGCCGCAGUAAACACAAUAAGCACUCCGCCUGGGGAGUACGGUCGCAAGACUGAAACUCAAAGGAAUUGACGGGGGCCCCACAAGCGGUGGAGUAUGUGGUUUAAUUCGACGCAACGCGAAGAACCUUACCAGGGCUUGACAUCGUAUGAAAAGCGUAGAGAUACGUUCCUUAGCCUUCGGGUUAACAUAUAGACAGGUGGUGCAUGGUUGUCGUCAGCUCGUGUCGUGAGAUGUUGGGUUAAGUCCCGCAACGAGCGCAACCCCUAACAUUAGUUGCCAGCACGUAAAGGUGGGAACUCUAAUGUGACUGCCGUUGACAAAACGGAGGAAGGUGGGGAUGACGUACAAAUCAUCAUGCCCCUUAUGUCCUGGGCUACACACGUACUACAAUGGCCGGUACAGACGGAAGCGAAGCCGUGAGGUGGAGCAAACCUGAGAAAGCCGGUCCCAGUUCGGAUUGUAGUCUGCAACUCGACUA
rnacentral:rRNA from 1 species